UUCUCUCUCUUACUUUUGUUUUCUUCUUAUCGAUCUCUCUCAUCAUUCCACCUCUGUAAAGAAAAGUGUAAGUAACAUUUUCCUUUUUAUACCCAUUUCACACUGUUUUAUAAUAUCAUCAUUAAAAGUAAUUUGAUUUAUUACUUGAGAUUUGAUUGAAGUGAAAAAAACACACACGUCUAAAAAUAACUAACAAUACCACCAUUUAUGUAACUCUCUUUUAUAAGCUUUGUAUGACAGGUUCGAACUUGAAACAUGUUAGGGCCUGUUUGGGGUAGCGUUUCAGACCCCAAACGUGCGUUGCGUCCUGGAGAACGUGAUUUACCAGUUUGCUGCAAGUGUUUGGUUUAGCGUUUUUGUCAACGCACCAACGCAGAUCCAGGCCAAAACAGCGUUGAACGAACAAGAAGCGAUAAAUUAGAGCGGCAGCGUCCAACGUUCGCGUUUGACCGUUGAAGAAUUAAAGUUUGCUGUUGAACAUGCCUUUGUGGGACUGGGACCGUGCACCUGCGAGCUGCAACUAGUUGCAAGGGAGAAGAAACCAGGAAAAUAGCCAACGAAGAAGAAAGAGGAGAUGCAAGUAAUGAAAAAUAUCUCAGAAAGAGGACCGUGCACCUUGUUACUUUAUUUGUUUCAUUUUUUAUUUUAUAUUUAGUAAUGAAAAAUAUCUCAUAAUAAAUAAUUGCAGCUUAUCUUUU